rnacentral:rRNA from 1 species
AGAGUUUGAUCCUGGCUCAGAAUGAACGCUGGCGGCAUGCCUAACACAUGCAAGUCGAACGAAGGCUUCGGCCUUAGUGGCGCACGGGUGCGUAACGCGUGGGAAUCUGCCCUUGGGUUCGGAAUAACAGUUAGAAAUGACUGCUAAUACCGGAUGAUGUCGUAAGACCAAAGAUUUAUCGCCCAAGGAUGAGCCCGCGUAGGAUUAGCUAGUUGGUGGGGUAAAGGCCCACCAAGGCGACGAUCCUUAGCUGGUCUGAGAGGAUGAUCAGCCACACUGGGACUGAGACACGGCCCAGACUCCUACGGGAGGCAGCAGUGGGGAAUAUUGGACAAUGGGCGAAAGCCUGAUCCAGCAAUGCCGCGUGAGUGAUGAAGGCCUUAGGGUUGUAAAGCUCUUUUACCCGGGAUGAUAAUGACAGUACCGGGAGAAUAAGCUCCGGCUAACUUCGUG